ensembl:lncRNA
GGGAGGUGGUUUGUGUUCAGGUAGGGUAUGGGUUCGGGGAGGUGGUUUGUGUUCAGGUAGGGUAUGGGUUCGGGGAGGUGCUUUGUGUUCGGGGAGGUGGUUUGUAUGCAGGUAGAUUCGUGUUAGGGAAGGUUAUUUGCCUCCACACAAUUCACAGAGCUCACAUUCUGUUCGUCGCGACCUAAAUAUAAAUUCUGAUGACUGUACAAACUAACCGCAGUCUGGCAAUUAUGUAACGAUCAGCACAGGCUUAGUUACAUCUUGAGAACACAUGAGCUUUGAUUCAUGCAAGAUUUAACAU